rnacentral:misc_RNA from 1 species
AACAUCGCGCACCUGCGGGAACCUGCGGAGGGAUCAUUAACGUGUUCGUUCGGCCGUUCGGGUCGGCCCUGCACCGACGGAGACGUCGUGCUGCGGGCUCCCGGGCGUGCCUUCCAAACCAAACCCCUGUGAACCUUUGGGAGGGUAGAGCCUUCAUCGGCGAAGCCGUCCCCUUUACAAACUCUCGUAUCUCAUAGAAUGACCGCGGACAUCGUCUGCCUAAACACAUAACAACUUUUA